rnacentral:SRP_RNA from 1 species
GGGUAUGGUGAGACAGGCCUGUAAUCCCUGUACCUGGGGAGGCUCAGACUGGCAGAUCUUCUGAGCUUUGAAAGUUCUGAACUUCAGUGGGCUAAGCUGACUGGGUUUAAGCACUAAAUCUGGCAUUAAAAGGGUAAGCUCCCAGGAUCAAAGGCCAUUAGAUUGUCUAAGGAGGGGUGAACCAGCACAAGUUGGAAACAAAGCAGGUCAAAGCUCCCAAGCCAAAUAGAGGGCCUGUGAAUAGCCCCUAUAUGUCCAGCCUGGGAAAGAAAGGGAGACCCAGCUUUUU